UACGUAGGGUGCAAGCGUUAAUCGGAAUUACUGGGCGUAAAGCGUGCGCAGGCGGUUAUAUAAGACAGUUGUGAAAUCCCCGGGCUCAACCUGGGAACUGCAUCUGUGACUGUAUAGCUAGAGUACGGUAGAGGGGGAUGGAAUUCCGCGUGUAGCAGUGAAAUGCGUAGAUACGCGGAGGAACACCGAUGGCGAAGGCAAUCCCCUGGACCUGUACUGACGCUCAUGCACGAAAGCGUGGGGAGCAAACAGG
rnacentral:rRNA from 1 species